rnacentral:rRNA from 1 species
CAAUACUUAGUGGCAGACGGGUGAGUGACAUGUAGGUAUCUGCCCUUUGGCCUGGAAUAACACGAGGAAACUUGUGCUAAUACCGGAUAAGUCUUUACGGAGAAAGCUUUAUGCACCAUUGGAUGAGCCUGCACUUGAUUAGUUUGUUGGUGGGGUAAUGGCCUACCAAGACUGUGAUCAAUAGCUGAUUUGAGAGGAUGAUCAGCCACAUUGGGACUGAGACACGGCCCAAACUCCUACGGGAGGCAGCAGUGGGGAAUCUUGCACAAUGGAGGAAACUCUGAUGCAGCGAUGCCGCGUGAGUGAAGAAGGCCCUUGGGUUGUAAAGCUCUUUCGUCGGGGAAGAAAAUGACUGUACCCGAAUAAGAAGGUCCGGCUAACUUCGUGCCAGCAGCCGCGGUAAUACGAAGGGACCUAGCGUAGUUCGGAAUUACUGGGCUUAAAGAGUUCGUAGGUGGUUGAAAAAGUUGGUGGUGAAAUCCCAGAGCUUAACUCUGGAACUGCCAUCAAAACUUUUCAGCUAGAGUAUGAUAGAGGAAAGCAGAAUUUCUAGUGUAGAGGUGAAAUUCGUAGAUAUUAGAAAGAAUACCAAUUGCGAAGGCAGCUUUCUGGAUCAUUACUGACACUGAGGAACGAAAGCAUGGGUAGCGAAGAGGAUUAGAUACCCUCGUAGUCCAUGCCGUAAACGAUGUGUGUUAGACGUUGGAAAUUUAUUUUCAGUGUCGCAGCGAAAGCGAUAAACACACCGCCUGGGGAGUACGACCGCAAGGUUAAAAC